GUCAGAGGCGAUGAAGGACGUGCUAAUCUGCGAUAAGCGCCGGUAAGGUGAUAUGAACCGUUAUAACCGGCGAUUUCCGAAUGGGGAAACCCAGUGUGAUUCGUCACACUAUCAUUAACUGAAUCCAUAGGUUAAUGAGGCGAACCGGGGGAACUGAAACAUCUAAGUACCCCGAGGAAAAGAAAUCAACCGAGAUUCCCCCAGUAGCGGCGAGCGAACGGGGAGGAGCCCAGAGCCUGAAUCAGCAUGUGUGUUAGUGGAAGCGUCUGGAAAGGCGCGCGAUACAGGGUGACAGCCCCGUACACAAAAGCGCAUGUGCUGUGAGCUCGAUGAGUAGGGCGGGACACGUGGUAUCCUGUCUGAAUAUGGGGGGACCAUCCUCCAAGGCUAAAUACUCCUGACUGACCGAUAGUGAACCAGUACCGUGAGGGAAAGGCGAAAAGAACCCCGGCGAGGGGAGUGAAAAAGAACCUGAAACCGUGU
rnacentral:rRNA from 1 species